GCGGGACUUCCUAUCUUCCUAAAGAAGCACUUCCGGCCAAAGCCGGAAGCUUCGCUGCGGACCGGCGCGUGCGAGGGUCGAGGUUCGGACCACCCCGGUAGCCGCGGGGCAGAUCUCAUAUUUUGGAUUCUGGCUACGUUAUAAUGAAUGACACUUUGACAUCAGAUGUCAUUGGUCGACGAGUUGAGGUUAAUGGAGAACAUGCAACAGUGCGUUUUUCUGGUAUUGUCCCUCCUGUGGCAGGACUCUGGUUAGGAGUAGAAUGGGACAAUCCUGAGAGAGGAAAGCAUGAUGGAAGCCACGAGGGGACUGUGUAUUUUAAAUGCAGACACCCAACAGGGGGAUCCUUUAUUCGUCCCAACAAAGUAAAUUUUGGAGUGGGCUUUCUCACUGCAGUUAAGAAUCGCUAUGUGUUAGAAGAUGGACCAGAGGAAGAUGGAAAAGAGCAAAUUGUUAUAAUUGGAAAUAAGCCCGUGGAAACUAUUGGUUUUGACUCUAUUAUAAAACAGCAAAGUCAGCUGAGCAAGUUGCAAGAAAUUUCUCUGAGGAACUGUGCCGUGAAUGGUGCUGGUGACAAAGGAGCAAUUGCCAAAGCGUGUCCUAGUAUCAGAAAAGUAGAUUUGUCAAGAAACCUGUUGUCCUCGUGGGAUGAAGUCCUAGAUAUUGCUGAUCAGCUGAAACAUCUGGAAGUUCUUAAUCUCAGUGAGAAUAAACUCAGCUUUCCCUCGGGUUCACCAGUUCGAACCGGAACAUUUCCUGCACUGAAGGUUUUAGUCCUUAACCGAACAGGAAUAACAUGGGCGGAGGUGCUCCAGUGCGCCGCUGGGUGGCCGGUCCUUGAGGAGCUAUACCUCAAGUCUAACGAUCUCCUCAUUUCGGAAAGGCCAGCUGAUGUCCUGCAGUCAGUCAAGUUAUUAGAUCUUUCCUCUAAUCAAUUAAUUGAUGAAAAUCAGCUGUUUCUAAUAGCCUAUCUGCCCAGAUUAGAACAACUUAUCCUUUCUGACAUUGGACUUUCUUCUAUACAUUUUCCAGAUGCUGGAACUGGGCACAAGACAUCCAUGUUUCCUUCCUUGCAGUACCUCGUCGUGAAUGACAAUCAGAUAUCACAAUGGUCGUUUAUCAACGAGCUGGAUAAGUUACCGAGUCUGCAGGCUCUGUCCUGCAGCAGAAACCCCCUGACUGAAGGGAGCAAAGCAGCACAUACCACUCGUGGGCUCAUCAUUGCCAAAAUCGGUCAGUUGAAGACCCUGAACAAAUGCGAGUUCCUGAAUCCUGUCCCUGUUGGAAGGGACGGUAAGAAGAGAUGCCCCGUCACUCUCUGUGUGAUGAGCGUCCCUCAGCGAGCGGCAGGGCAGGGCACAAAGCACAGACCGCGUUUGUCCCGCAGAUCCCGCCGGAGGAGAGGCGCGGCGCCGAGCUCGAUUACCGGAAGGCGUUCGGCAACGAGUGGAAGGCAGCGGGCGGCCACCAGGACCCUGACCGGAACCGGCCCCACGCGGAGUUCCUCGCGGCGCAUCCCCGGUACCAGUCGCUGUGCCUCAGUACGUGUGCGGCCCGCAGCCCACCCCGCACCGCCCCUGCAGCCCCGGCCACGGGGCGUCGGAGGGGACCCUAGUGGCCCUGCUGUUCUUCGGGGCGUGGGGUCCUCCGAACGGGCCCUUGGCCCGAUGCUGGGGCCCUGUCCGCAAGCCCAGGAGCCAGACUCGAACCGGCCUCUUCAGGGCAGAGUCCGCAGCCUCGCUCCGCAGAGGGAGCGCGGGGAGUCUGAGGCCUGCUGGAAGGUCGAGAUCGGCAUCGGGGCGCUGGGGCAGGGGGCAGCCCUGCGGUGGAAGGCCCUCCUGUCUGCCCGAGUUCACCCCGCUUCCCGCCGCGGGAGGGCGGGCGACCCCUCCUGGCCGGGGGCAGGAGCAGCGGCGGCCGGGCCGAGCCUUCGGACCUUGCACGCGCGGAGCGUGUUAAGGUCGAAGCCGGGCCCGGGUGUUGCCAAAGCUCCCCGGGCAGUGGCGACCAGCGUGUCCGGUCCCCUCCGCGCGGCUCGAGGGCGCCCCCACCCCCCCGGCCCUCCCCGCCCCUCCCCGCCCCCGCCCGGGGCUCCCUUACCUUCCCCGCCUGGGUCCUCAGGCCCUGAAGCCCCCACUUGGCGACUCCGUCCCUGCCGUACUCCCCGUUUUGACUUCGUCGUCACUCCAGAUGUCACGGGUCCGGGACGUUCUUUCUCAAACCCGUUUCCCGGUGCCGCUCGCCGUGGAACGCUCCGGCUGGGGCGCUGGCCGUGAGGACGCGAAGCCGCCUGAAUAUGGUGCGCCGGAAGACGGGGAACUCAAGACACAACAGCCGUUUUUGCUCAAAAACCAGCUACUAACACUGAAGAUAAAAUAUC